GGCCCCGUGGAUGAAGGCACAUCGCCCACUACAAUUUACAUGUUCUUCCUUCAAUAUGACGUAAAUGCGAGGUGGAGGUUCGAAUCCUCCCGGGGCCG